rnacentral:rRNA from 1 species
AAUUUAUUUUAUUAAUAUAAUAAUUUUUAUUUGAUUUUUUAUAAAAAUAAUUUAUUUAUUUAAGGUUUUAGUAUUUAUUAAAAAUUAAUUUAUAGAUUUAUAGUUUAAUAGUAUUGUGAAAGAAAUAAUUAAAUUUAUAAAAGAAUUAAUUUAGUACCUUUUGUAUCAGGGUUGAUUAAAAUUUUUAAUUUUUUUUUAAAUUCUCAAAAUUUAUAGAGUUAAUUUUAUUAUUAAUUUAUUGUGUUAUAAAUAUUUAUAAAAUAAUAUUAGUUUUGAAAUUUAAUUCGUUAUAUUAUAUUUAGUUAUUUAAGAUUUAAAUUUAAUUUAAAAUUUUAAAAGUUAUUUUGAUUUUGUUGAUUAAUAUUUUAAAUUUAAAUUAUUUUAGGGAUAAGCUUGAAAUUUUUAUAUAAUAAUUUAUUUAUUUUAAUAAUUUAUAGGAAUAGAAAUUUUUAUUUAAGUUUGUAAAAAUUUAUUAUUUAUUUAUUUUUAAUUUAUUAUAAAUUAUUUAUUAUUAAUAUUAAAUUUUAUUAAUGAAUAUUUAAUUAAUAGUAAUAAUGAUUAAAUUAGUAUAAUUUACAUUUAUAAAUUAUGAAUUCGGCAAAAAUUAUUUUCAUCUGUUUAACAAAAACAUUGUAUUAAGUUUAAUUUAAUAUAGGAUCUGCUCAAUGAUUUAUUAAAUAGCUGCAGUAUUUUGACUGUGCAAAGGUAGCAUAAUAAUUAGUCUUUUAAUUGAGGACUUGUAUGAAAGAUUUGAUGAGAAAUAAACUUUAUUAUUUAUAUAAUUAAAAUUUUAUUUUUAAGUAAAAAAGCUUAAAUUAUUUAAAGGGACGAUAAGACCCUAUAAAACUUUAUAAAUUUUAAUUUUAAUUUUUUUGGUUUUAUAAAUAUUUUAUUUUUAUAAUUUAUUUUAUUGGGGUGAUAAAAAAAAUUAAUAAACUUUUUUUAAAAUUUAACAUUAUUUAAUGAAUUUUUGAAUUAAAAUUUUUAAUUAAAGGAAAAAGUUACUUUAGGGAUAACAGCGUAAUUAAUUUUUUAAGUCCAAAUUUAAAAAUUAGUUUGCGACCUCGAUGUUGAAUUAAGAUUAAUCUUAGGUGCAAAAUUUUAAGUAUUAGGUCUGUUCGACCUUUAAAUUCUUACAUGAUUUGAGUUCAAACCGGUGUAAGCCAGGUUGGUUUCUAUCUUUUAAAAAUUAAUUUGUUUUAGUACGAAAGGAUUAAAUAAUUAAAUUAAAUUUUUAUUAAAUGAAUAAAAAUAAUUUA